GACGAACGCUGGCGGCGUGCUUAACACAUGCAAGUCGAACGGAGAGAGGGGGAGCUUGCUCCCUCCGGGUUAGUGGCGAACGGGUGAGUAACACGUGGGCAAUCUGCCCCGAACUCUGGGAUAAGCGUGGGAAACGACGUCUAAUACCGGAUACGACUCGGAAGGGCAUGCUCUCCGCGUGGAAAGAACUGCUGUUCGGGAUGAGCUCGCGGCCUAUCAUCUUUUUGGUGAGGUAACAGCUCACGAAGUCGAAGACUGAUAGUCGGCAUGAGAGGGUGACCGGCGACCCUGCGCCUGAGACACGGAGCAGACUCCUACGGGAGGCAGCAGUGGGGAAUAUUGCACAGUGGGCGCAAGCCUGAUGCAGCAACGCCGCGUGCGGGAAGAUGGCUUUCGGGUUGUAAACCUCUGUGAGAAUGGAAGAAGCGAAAGUGACGGUACCUGAAGAAAAAGCACCGGCUAACUACGUG
rnacentral:rRNA from 1 species